AUUUGGUUUCCUAAAGAGAAAAAAUCAUCUGUGUAAACACUGUAUAGUGUGAUGUGUUCCUCAUACUGUUUUCGUUCCUCUAAUUGCAGGUGGAUGCAGAAGGGAACAAAAAGGUCCCACCCCUUUUAUUUUAUAAAGAUUUACUUUCAUAGGCCUACUGUGACCAAAGAAGAAGAUUUGGUUGUGGAGAACCUGGAAGAUGAUUCGAGUCAGAUGGUGGAAGACUCUCCAGAUCCGAACAGCACUCAGAUAGGACUCAACGGGAGAGGGUUCCAGGUGAUGAAGAAGGUGGGGCUGCCCUGGCUGCUUUGGAGAACCACCCAGAUUCCAGAUUCCCACUGGUAA
rnacentral:lncRNA from 1 species